ACCCAACUUUUUAGCCCAAGACGCCUUGCUUAGCCACACCCCCAAGGGACCUCAGCAGUAGUAAAUAUUAAGCCAUAAGUGAAAACUUGACUUAGUUAAGGUUUUUAGGGCCGGUAAAACUCGUGCCAGCCACCGCGGUUAUACGAGAGACCCAAGUUGACAGCCCAACGGCGUAAAGCGUGGUUAAGUACCCCCCCCCCAACUAGGGCCAAACACCCUCAAAGCCGUUAUACGCACAUGAGGGCUUGAAGAUCUCCUACAAAAGUGACCCUAAACCCUACUGAACCCACGAAAGCUACAAAACAAACUGGGAUUAGAUACCCCACUAUGUGUAGCCGUAAACCUUGAUGGUAACCUGUACCCUUCCAUCCGCCUGGGAACUACGAGCGCUAGCUUAAAACCCAAAGGACUUGGCGGUGCUUUAGACCCCCCUAGAGGAGCC
rnacentral:rRNA from 1 species